GUCCCUGUUGUGCAAUGGAUAACGCGUUGGAUUUGUAAUUCAAAGGUCGUACGUAGGUUCGAAUCCUACCUGGGAUG